rnacentral:rRNA from 1 species
AGUGAACGCUGGCGGUAGGCCUAACACAUGCAAGUCGAACGGCAGCACAGUAAGAGCUUGCUCUUACGGGUGGCGAGUGGCGGACGGGUGAGGAAUACAUCGGAAUCUACUUUUUCGUGGGGGAUAGCGUAGGGAAACUUACGCUAAUACCGCAUACGACCUACGGGUGAAAGCAGGGGAUCUUCGGACCUUGCGCGAUUGAAUGAGCCGAUGUCGGAUUAGCUAGUUGGCGGGGUAAAGGCCCACCAAGGCGACGAUCCGUAGCUGGUCUGAGAGGAUGAUCGGCCACACUGGAGCUGGGACACGGUCCAGACUCCUACGGGAGGCAGCAGUGGGGAAUAUUGGACAAUGGGCGCAAGCCUGAUCCAGCCAUACCGCGUGGGUGAAGAAGGCCUUCGGGUUGUAAAGCCCUUUUGUUGGGAAAGAAAAGCAGCAGGUUAAUACCCCGCUGUUCUGACGGUACCCAAAGAAUAAGCACCGGCUAACUUCGUG